rnacentral:rRNA from 1 species
AAAACGGAGAGUUUGAUCCUGGCUCAGGAUGAACGCUGGCGGUAUGCUUAACACAUGCAAGUCGAACGGGCUCCUUAGGGAGCUAGUGGCGGACGGGUGAGUAACGCGUGAGAAUCUAGCUUCAGGUUCGGGACAACAUUGGGAAACCGAUGCUAAUACCGGAUGUGCCGAGAGGUGAAAGGCUUGCUGCCGGAAGAAGAGCUCGCGUCUGAUUAGCUAGUUGGUGGUGUAAGGGACUACCAAGGCGACGAUCAGUAGCUGGUCUGAGAGGAUGAUCAGCCACACUGGAACUGAGACACGGUCCAGACUCCUACGGGAGGCAGCAGUGGGGAAUUUUCCGCAAUGGGCGAAAGCCUGACGGAGCAAUACCGCGUGAGGGAGGAAGGCUCUUGGGUUGUAAACCUCUUUUCUCAAGGAAGAAGUGAUGACGGUACUUGAGGAAUCAGCAUCGGCUAACUCCGUGCCAGCAGCCGCGGUAAUACGGAGGAUGCAAGCGUUAUCCGGAAUGAUUGGGCGUAAAGCGUCCGCAGGUGGUUGUGUGUGUCUAUUGUCAAAGCAUCAUGCUUAACAUGAUAAAGGCAGUAGAAACUACACGACUAGAGUGCGUUCGGGGCAGAGGGAAUUCCUGGUGUAGCGGUGAAAUGCGUAGAGAUCAGGAAGAACACCGGUGGCGAAAGCGCUCUGCUAGGCCGCAACUGACACUGAGGGACGAAAGCUAGGGGAGCGAAUGGGAUUAGAUACCCCAGUAGUCCUAGCCGUAAACGAUGGAUACUAGGCGUUGAGAGUAUCGACCCUCUCAGUGCCGUAGCUAACGCGUUAAGUAUCCCGCCUGGGGAGUACGCACGCAAGUGUGAAACUCAAAGGAAUUGACGGGGGCCCGCACAAGCGGUGGAGUAUGUGGUUUAAUUCGAUGCAACGCG